rnacentral:rRNA from 1 species
AGCAGCCGCGGUAAUUCCAGCUCCAAUAGCGUAUAUUAAAGUUGUUGCAGUUAAAAAGCUCGUAGUUGAAUUUCGGGAUCAGUACGCUGGUCGUGCCUUUGGUAUGUACUGGUGUCACUGAUUCCUCCCUUCUGAAGAACCGUUAUGCCAUUUAUUUGGUGUGGCGGGGAAUCAGGACUGUUACUUUGAAAAAAUUAGAGUGUUUAAAGCAGGCUCGCGCUUGAAUACAUUAGCAUGGAAUAAUGAAAUAGGACGUUUGAUCUUAUUUUGUUGGUUUCUAGGAUCGACGUAAUGAUUAAUAGGGAUAGUUGGGGGCAUUAGUAUUCAAUUGUCAGAGGUGAAAUUCUUGGAUUUAUUGAAGACUAACUACUGCGAAAGCAUUUGCCAAGGAUGUUUUCAUUAAUCAAGAACGAAAGUUAGGGGAUCGAAGACGAUCAGAUACCGUCGUAGUCUUAACCAUAAACUAUGCCGACUAGGGAUCGGAUGAUGUUAUUUUUAAUGACUCAUUCGGCGUACCCG